rnacentral:rRNA from 1 species
CAUGCAGUCGAGCGAAUGGAUUAAGAGCUUGCUCUUAUGAAGUUAGCGGCGGACGGGUGAGUAACACGUGGGUAACCUGCCCAUAAGACUGGGAUAACUCCGGGAAACCGGGGCUAAUACCGGAUAACAUUUUGAACCGCAUGGUUCGAAAUUGAAAGGCGGCUUCGGCUGUCACUUAUGGAUGGACCCGCGUCGCAUUAGCUAGUUGGUGAGGUAACGGCUCACCAAGGCAACGAUGCGUAGCCGACCUGAGAGGGUGAUCGGCCACACUGGGACUGAGACACGGCCCAGACUCCUACGGGAGGCAGCAGUAGGGAAUCUUCCGCAAUGGACGAAAGUCUGACGGAGCAACGCCGCGUGAGUGAUGAAGGCUUUCGGGUCGUAAAACUCUGUUGUUAGGGAAGAACAAGUGCUAGUUGAAUAAGCUGGCACCUUGACGGUACCUAACCAGAAAGCCACGGCUAACUACGUGCCA